AUGACGUUGUUGCACAGACAUCGAUGGCGACAACAUGUGUUUGUGAUUUUCGCGAUGCACCGUCCUCAACAUACUAAGCCCUAUGGAAGGGGAGAUUUGGAGGUACCUGGUCAGGUCUUGGUCAGCCUUCAAAUCCCAGAUGUGGAGACUGCAGGGAUACCUCACAGAGAAGACACUAAAGAGUCAACUCUCAUUCAUCAAGUGGACUCAUUGGUUUGCGAAUUAUCACAAAGAUGCUCCCAUAGGCAGAUUGCUGCAUGGCAUGCACCGCUUAUUCAAAUUGAAGAGGUUGAAGCAGUCUUCCUUGUGGUCACUUGCCAUAACAAUGUCAUGUGUUUUAUGAAAACACCAUCAGUAACAUUUAAAUUGAGUUAAUGUGGACGGCUCUUUUUUUUGUCCGAUUUCUUCAGUGUUCAGUGCCUGUUUGUGAGAUAUGCAUUGUUUGAAAGAUAAGCCUUUGAUUUUGUUUAAUUUUAAUAUGCCUUUCAUCAACAGUGGUUUGGGGUUUUAUAACAACAAUUAAAGUACUUAACUACUGGUGAACGAUGUUGCAGAACAUAUAUGGUUUGUGUUGAUUGCAUGGAAAAGGGAAUAACCAGUUACAACUUAUAUGGUAAGAGCCUGGUAAUACCAUGGAAACAAACGAGGCUUCCUUGUACAGUACAGUUUCAGCUUACUUACUGGGUAAAUUGUCGUGUUUUACUUGGUAACGUCGCAGAACGUACAUGGUACAAGUCUGUGUUGACUGCAUGUAAAAGGGAAUAAUGUAUUACAAAUUAUAUGGUAAGAACCUGGUAAUACCAAGGAAAUAAAUGAGGCUUCCUUUUACAGUACAGUUUCAGCUUAAUUACUGGGUAAAUUGUCGUGUUUUACUUGGUAACGUCGCAGAACGUACAUGGUACAAGUUUGUGUUGACUGCAUAGAAAAGGGAAUAAUGUAUUACAAAUUAUAUGGUAAGAACCUGGUAAUACCAUGGAAACAAACGAGGCUUCCUUUUACAGUACAGUUUCAGCUUAAUUACUGGGUAAAUUGACGUGUUUUACUUGGUAACGUCGCAGAACGUACAUGGUACAAGUUUGUGUUGACUGCAUGGAAAAGGGAAUAAUGUAUUACAAAUUAUCUGGUAAGAACCUGGUAAUACCAUGGAAACAAACGAGGCUUCCUUUUACA
ensembl:lncRNA